CCUACGGGUGGCAGCAGUCGAGAAUCAUUCACAACGGGGGAAACCCUGAUGGUGCGACGCCGCGUGGGGGAAUGAAGGUCUUCGGAUUGUAAACCCCUGUCAUGUGGGAGCAAAUUAAAAAGAUAGUACCACAAGAGGAAGAGACGGCUAACUCUGUGCCAGCAGCCGCGGUAAUACAGAGGUCUCAAGCGUUGUUCGGAAUCACUGGGCGUAAAGCGUGCGUAGGCUGUUUCGUAAGUCGUGUGUGAAAGGCGCGGGCUCAACCCGCGGACGGCACAUGAUACUGCGAGACUAGAGUAAGGGAGGGGGAACCGGAAUUCUCGGUGUAGCAGUGAAAUGCGUAGAUAUCGAGAGGAACACUCGUGGCGAAGGCGGGUUCCUGGACAUUAACUGACGCUGAGGCACGAAGGCCAGGGGAGCGAAAGGGAUUAGAUACCCGGGUAGUC
rnacentral:rRNA from 1 species